rnacentral:hammerhead_ribozyme from 1 species
AGCCAGUUGACGAGUCCCAACUGGGACGAAACGCGCGUCGUGGAU